UACAGAGGUCCCAAGCGUUGUUCGGAUUCACUGGGCGUAAAGGGUGCGUAGGUGGUGAGGUAAGUCGGAUGUGAAAUCUCCGAGCUCAACUCGGAAAUGGCAUUGGAAACUACCUUGCUCGAGGGUUGGAGGGGGGACUGGAAUACUUGGUGUAGCAGUGAAAUGCGUAGAUAUCAAGUGGAACACCAGUGGCGAAGGCGAGUCCCUGGACAACUCCUGACACUGAGGCACGAAGGUCAGGGGAGCAAACGGG
rnacentral:rRNA from 1 species